AACAUUAGCAGUUGCACGCGUUAUAAAGAAAAAUAUGUUAUUUAUUUUUUACGGCCAUUAUUUAAUUUCCGCCCCUCUUUAGCGGGCAGUCAAGAAUAAUCACGUGUCAAUUGAUAAAGCAUUAUUUUUCUUGAAAUCUUAUCGUAACUCAAGUGAAGAUCAUAUAAUUGAACUAUGGUAUAAUUCAAAAUGAUUCAACAUUUUAUUACAUUCGUCAAUAAUACACUUUUUCUCUGAAUAGUCCAUCUCAAUUUGGUUAAGAAAAAAAUAAAAAAAAUGCCUGCAACAACCUGCAACGUACAAUAUAUAUUCAGGCGAAAUAAAAUGCUUACAUUAAAUGCUAUUAACAAAUAUUACAAAAUUAUUAUUAUAAUAUAAUAAUUAUUAGCCCUUUAAGUAUAGGUAGUUGAUCAUGAAUAUAAAUAUUUAUGGUUAUGUCGAAUAAUUGGUCAAUGCAGGAGACGGAUAAUUAACUCCGUUUUAUUUAUUUAAGAAACUACAGUGACCGGCGACGAUCCAGUUGACCUGAUAUAACGUUAAAAAUAUGCGCGUCCAG